rnacentral:rRNA from 1 species
UACGUAGGGACCAAGCGUUGUUCGGAUUUACUGGGUUUAAAGGGUGCGUAGGUGGGUCUGUAAGUCAGUGGUGAAAUCUCCGAGCUUAACUCGGAAACUGCCAUUGAUACUAUAGGUCUUGAAUUAUCUGGAGGUGAGCGGAAUAUGUCAUGUAGCGGUGAAAUGCUUAGAUAUGACAUAGAACACCAAUUGCGAAGGCAGCUAACGAAACUAUAACUGACACUGAGGCUCGAAAGUGUGGGGAUCAAACAGG